rnacentral:rRNA from 1 species
UGGGGAAUAUUGGACAAUGGGGGAAACCCUGAUCCAGCCAUGCCGCGUGAGUGACGAAGGUCUUCGGAUUGUAAAGCUCUUUUAGCAGGGAAGAUAAUGACGGUACCUGCAGAAUAAGCCCCGGCUAACUUCGUGCCAGCAGCCGCGGUAAUACGAAGGGGGCUAGCGUUGUUCGGAAUUACUGGGCGUAAAGCGCACGUAGGCGGAUUGAUAAGUUAGGGGUGAAAUCCCGGGGCUCAACCUCGGAACUGCCUUUGAUACUGUUAGUCUCGAGUCCGAUAGAGGUGAGUGGAAUUCCUAGUGUAGAGGUGAAAUUCGUAGAUAUUAGGAAGAACACCAGUGGCGAAGGCGGCUAACUGGUCCGGUACUGACGCUGAGGUGCGAAAGCGUGGGGAGCAAACAGGAUUAGAUACCCACGUAGUCCCUGAGCGGGCUGGCAAGGCGCAU